AUUUUCAGCUCCUUAAAAUGCGCCAGCAAUGUGCCUGGACACACCUCUUUUUUAGACCAGCACGCCCAUGGGCGCAAAUGCAUUUGCUAAUUAAACGACGUGGCGCUGGACGGGAAAAUGCAAUUGGCGCCGGACUGAAACUAGUAAACACACUUGUAUGACAGGACCCUAGAUCAUUAAUUUAAUAUGGAGAUAAAGAAAACAGCGGAUGACAAACUCUCCUGAACCAUAAAUGAAGCCUGCCAAGUGUAUCCUUAUAAAACGUGGUCUUAGCCGCUUACUGGAACAAUUCAAAUUGAAUCACACCACAAUAGCUGUCAGCCUUACAUACUGGUCACAUCAAACAGUUUUUCAAGAACGAUGAGUCUUCUAUAAAUACGGACUGCUUCACACAAUGGUGCUUCACAUUUUCAUUCCCCUGUGCUGUAUUUAAAUGCUUUGCUAGCAGCACUCCAUUAACAUGUGGCAUUCGCUCGUACAAAUGGCUAGUCGCCCUCUAAUUUACGUCAUCAAGUAUACAUAGAUGGCUCACCACCCCCCCGAACAAAAUCCUCUAGAGACCCACCCCAACCAGAACUUAAAAGAACAGGCUGGUUAAGAGGCAUCACGGUUGCACCUUGCUGCCUGGCUUCCUUGUGUGGGGAUUUGGGUUUUAGCACCAGAAAAUUCAACUCCUCUUCACUACUGAGGUCUGGGCUUUGUACGAUUCUCUUUUGGGGAUUGUCUCUAUUCACGCUCCUCUCUGUAAUAGGAGGCAGAUGGGUGGAUGGAUCAGUUAAUAGUGGGUACAGUUCCUGUCGAUGAAUAUUCCUUUCUGGUCCCUACUGUCCUUUAGGUUUAAUCUAUAUAAAGGGUCUGCACCUUAUCCAGGCACUACUUCAUAGACAACAGACUCCCAUUGAUCCUGAAUUUUAUGGCGAUUAACAGAGUGACUUUGUCUGUAGACAAGUGAACCUGGAGGCAAAAUGGACAAUGGAACAGAAUGAUUUCGGGUCCUAUAAGCAGCCGCUGCUUCCAGCUGAGUUCGUGCUUUAAGAUAAAUUGUUUUCAAAUUUUGCUGAUGUUCACUGGCCCAGUCUUCCACAGUGCCACCUACUGCUUCCUCCUCUAUUAACCCCAGCAAUGAAUGCACUGGAAGAAGGGGCUUUCUCCCAAACAUCAAUUCAUAUGGAGUGAAUCCUGUACACUGAUGUACAGAGGUGUUGUAUGCAAACGACAUUUGAGGCAGAUGUUGAGGCCAUCUUCUUUUCUGUUCUGGGGGUAAAGUGCACAGUAACUCCUAUUGCAAGUAAAGUGUUCUAUUGAAUCAUUCGCACUGCCCGUUACCCUCUGGGUGGUAUGGGCAAGUUCAUGACUUCUCAAUUCCAUACAACUGACAGAUGUGAUUAAGUAACUCACUCUCAAAAUUUCGACCUUGGUCUGAAUGUAUCCGCUUGGGGACCCCAUAUACAUAGAACCAAUGUUCAGUGAGGAUAUGCACCACAGUUCUUGCCUUCUGGUCUUGUGUAGGAUGCUUGUGCAAACUUAAAGAACAAACAAGUUACCACUAGAAGAUUUUCUCUACCAUCACUGGCUCAUUCCAGCAUGGUAAAAUCGAUAGCCACAAUAUACAGUGGUCUAGAUGCCAGCAGACUUCCCAUAAAGGUUCUUACUUUUGGUUGGACUGCCUUGGCUGCAAGACACCUAUGACCUUCUUGACAUCAGCGUUCAAUGUCGCAUCACAUAAAUGGCCAAUAACAACGCUGACGUACAAGGGGGGUGGUUCUUUCUACCCAUUGGUGGCCAUGCUGGUCGUGGAGAUUGGUAAGUACUUCAGUUUUCAAUCUCUGGGGUAAUAACAGUUGCAAAACUUCUUUUCCCCCAGGUACAUGAUUUUUAAGAUACAGGACUACCUGCUGUUCCUGGAUUCUCUUCCAGUGACGCACCAACUCUGUAACUUCUGGAGAUUAUUUUCCUCAUUCCACAGCUGUAGGAAUUGUGCCCUGCUUCUGAUAUACCAAAAAACCUGUAUCACUGGAUCUUCUUGCUGCAAUACUUGUAAGACUGCUUUACCUCAUGCUGGAACUGCCUCCAUGGUUGAUAUAGAGGCAGACAAAUGUUGACCCGAGCUAUCAGCAACCAUUCCUACCUCCUCAGGAACAGUGAUGCCAAAAGCAACUUCCCUCAUGGAGCUUGGUGAUGGUUGGUGCUAGUGGGAAAGUGCAACCGUAUUCUUGUUAGAUGAGUCUGUGCCUGGUUGCAUAAAGCACCUUAAGUGUAAUUUUCCCUUAAGAUCACUCUUUAGUUGCCCUACACUUAAGGGCAUUGCAUAAAAUAUCCCUUAAAUGUUACUUAAGGGUUUCUUUAGGUGAAAUGUCAAUAAACCCUUAGAAUUCCUCUUAAGUAUCCCUUAAAAUCCAUUAAGUGUUGCAUAAACCCUCUUAACUGUCAUUUGCCUAUGGAUAACAUAAAGGCUGUAAAAUGUCACCUUAGAUUUUACACAAAUGUCUUCUACAAGUCAUGAUCGGCCUCUUUAUAUGUUAAACAGAUUUUAAUUUACACAUUUAUUUACAUAGAAAUAUUGAUCAAAUUACAUACAGCACAUAAUUAGCUCAAACGUGAGUGCGUCACACUCAAGAGCAAAUUUAUAUUCUAUAAUGUUUUAUUCCUGUAUUUUCCUACAUAUUGCCUGGAGAUGACUUGAGAAACAAUAUAUAGUUGCAAUUGUGAGUUUAUUGUGUUUACGUUUCUACUUUUUUAUUCAAUUUAUAAGAUACUAUUUCUAUGAAUCCGGUUUAGACCAAUAUCAAAGUCCAAAUAUCCACUUGACCAAUGUUCUCAAUAGUAGUUUCCCAAUUAAGUUGUCCUGUGAGGGAAUCCCAACUGAAUCUCAAAUUUGAUUUUCCUGUGGACAUGUACAUAUGGGUCAGACAGGUUUGGAACGACAUAAGGGUGUGUAAAUUAUGACAGAAUUUUUAUUUUUGGUUAACUGUUCCUUUAAAGAUCUUUCUUCACCAAGUGAUGUAAUGACCAUUCAGUAAUGAAUGAUCUAAGAAUGUAAUUUGAGCUCUUAAUAGCAAGCUUAUGCGUGUGCAGCUUCAGUAGAGCUAAUAGAGUGAAUCUUCUAGUACUUCAUUUAAGUUUUCUUUCACUGUUUCAUAUUCUCUUCAUGUCAAAGUUUCAAGUAUUGCACAUUCAUUGACUCUUAGGUCUGAACUUAUGCUCUGAUGCUCUUCAGUAUAGCAUCCUCAAAUAUGCAAAAUGAAAUAAGGCAAUAUGUGGGUUAAAAUGUCUGUUUUCUUUUUCUUUUCUUUUUUUUUGGAGGCAGUUUGGUUUGCAUCUCUGGUUUGCAUUAGAAUUCAGCCAGUCAUUAAGUCAGUCAAGGCACACCAGUCACACUCUGAACAAAAAUGAGUUUGUAGAGUCCAGUCCAGCAUGGAUGUACGGGCAGGAGUUUUUUUCUACGGGCUUCACAGAGAGUUGACUGGGUGAGAGCAGAAGAUUUCAAAAGUCCAAAGAUAAGGGCCACUCUAGCCUGUAUUUUUCAAUUAAAAUCCUAUGUUAAUAUGAUAAUGCUUGCUGCGAUUAUGAGCUUAAUCACAUUUUUUAGAUUUAAGUAUUGCAUUUACAUGAGGUAAAGUUUAGCAGCAAUAUUGCCAAAAUCUCAUUAUAAUCGCAUUUAGAGGGUGCAUGUAAACACACUGAAUAAUGUCAGUGAACUCUGACAUAUUAGAGAGAUAUUAAACUGUCUGUGGUGGUGUGCUGUUUUGGAUGGUGUGAAGAGGGGAAGUACAUUGUGUUUAAAGAUGUUUCCUACUGAUAAAAGCACACAGGGGUGCGUUUCCCAAAACCAUAGUUGCUAACUAAGUUAGCAACUUUGUUGGUUGCAAUGCAAUUUCCCAUUGCCAACCAACUAAGUUGCUAACAGGUUAGCAACUAUGGUUUUGGGAAACGCACCCCAGAUCUGUUUCCUAUGUCUAAUAAUACAGUUCCUAAUCAGAAUAUGUUAAAAUGUGACAAUAGGAAGCCAUACGUUAACAAUGUAAUUGAAAGUAAAUAUCAUGUUGUACAUUACAUAUGUUUAAAAUUAUUAGCAGGAAUCGAAGGUGCAGGACACAACUGUUAUUUUAGGUUAAUCUGUUCAGCAAGUUUAGAUGCCAUGAAUUUGUUUUUAUAUAUAAAAUCGAGUUGUUCUGAUGACAGGUGGUGAGUGAGGGGGAGUGAGUGAUAAUGUAAUGUAGUGUAAUUUUGAUAAAAAUAUGCCAUUAAUUGCUUUUAACUUGACAUGUUGUAAUUUUCCAAAGUAAUAUCACUUGAAGUUUAAUGUUAUAUCCCAUGUCUGUAGAAUUAAUCUGUUUCUCUUAAAUUACAUUUUAUUGUAAACAUAGUCUUAAUGCUUGUAACUUAUUUGUGAGCAAAGCUGGGUAUACAGCAGAAAAGUUUAUCAUAACAUUUGAAAUACAAACAGUCAAAAGCUGUUGCGUGUUGCUUACAGUAUUAGUUUUUGAAAGAGUCCACACAGUGCUUUUUCUAACGAAGUCUAUAUUCAGUACAUAAUCUCCAGUUUGUUAAUAAGCAACUAACACAGCAAUAGUUUUUAAAUAGAGAUAGAAAUGUUUCACCAGCUGUUAAAUGACCACUUAUCAAAGUCUAUCAAUGUGGCUGUCAAGCUUUAAUCAGUAAAUUGUUAUGGUUAUGAUCUGUUUUGGUUUAGUUUUCUGUGUUUCUGUUCUCCUGCCUUGUUUGUUUCCAUGGUUUUUGAUUUAAUUAGCUCCAAACCUGUUUCAGUUCUCCCAAUUAAGUUUUUAUUACUUAAGUCUUUGUUCCCGUUUUGUUCCUUUGUCUGCUAUCAUUUGGAUUUGUGUUUGGUUGUGCCCAUUCUCUCCUGUGGAUUAUUAAAAGAACUCUGAUUAUA